rnacentral:lncRNA from 1 species
CCUGAACCACAACAUAUUACUGAUCAUUACUUUUUCUCCUUAAUUUUGUUCUUACUUUGUACAUGUCAUUUGUAGUUCGACACCAAUUUAUCUUUUGAGCCUUUAAAUAAUUGAUUGAACCUUUGUGUCUCUAAAAAUUUAAAUAUUAAUACUUUAUAUUCUGAUAAUUUUGAGCUUAUUUUGUAUGGAUAAGCAUGACAU